rnacentral:tRNA from 2 species
GCGCCCGUAGCUCAAUGGACAGAGUAACUGACUUCGAAUCAGGCGGUUGGGGGUUCGAGUCCCUCCGGGCGCA